UGCAUAUCUAAUGCUAUUAAUAGGUCUGCCGUUAGAUUCUACUCUGAUCGUUGUUUCUUCGACUGAUUUAGGUUUUAAUCUUCUUUGGAAUAUUUUCUAUUGCAAGUUGUAUACCCUUUGACGACAUUUCAAAAUCUUCUCCAAACUUGGCAGGCAGAAAAUCGUGUUACCCUAAGUGCAAAAGACGCUAUGGUGCUUUCCCAAAUGAAGAUUUUGGACCUAACUACAGAAAUUAUUAUAAAAAAAUGCCUAAAUUAUUUUAAAUUCGAUAUUUAAUGAAUUAGAAUUAGCAUAUUAAUUUAUAUAUUAUGUAUAAUUUUAUCGAUAAAGUGUAAGAUGUUUAGAAUUUGUUAUCUUUAAAAUUUAAAUAAAGACGCCAAAUUAUACAGGGUGUCCAAAAACUCUACCGACAAAUGAAAACAGAAGAUUCUUCAGAUAAUUUUAAGACAGUUUAAGCCAAUUCACUUCCGAAAAGUCCGAAAAUGCCUCCGAAAAGUCCGUUUCACUAAGUCCGAAAAUGCUUCCUAAGGGUGCUAGAGCUCUUUGAAGAUGGCGUCUUGUAAUCAGUUUUUCUUACAUACCUCCAGAACGCUUCUAUUUAGAAAAACAGAAAUUGGCACGCGUAUUUACCUUCUAGAGAUAAAUCUAUUCCAUCUAUUGCGAAUUUUUAGUACCGAUCAUAUGCGUCCGUUUUGGGUAGGGCAACGGUUAUUUUAUCGCAUAACUUUUUUGUCUUUAAUUUUUAAGGAUUUUUGACUCUGUAUUAUUAAAUUGUGAGGUAUUCUAGUACUAAAAGGUGCUCUUUCUUUAAGUCGAUAGGAUACACCGUUUUCGAGAAAAACCAAUCUGAAAAUUUUUCGUUCUUUGAAUUUCAAAAAAAAUUUUCAAAAAAAAUCUAUUUAGAAAGACGAAAUCUGGUACAUUUAUUUAUAUUCCAGAGAUAAAUCGAUUUCAUUAAUUGCGAAUUUUUAGUACCGGUCAUGGGCGCCCGUUUUGGGUAGGUCAACAGUUAUUUUAUAGCAUAACUUUUUUGUCUUGAAUUUUUAAACAUCUUUGAUACUAGAUUAUUAGAUUAUGAGGUAUUCAAGUACUAAAAGUUACUCUUGCUUUAAGUUAGUAAAAUACAUCGUUUUUUUUUUUUAAAUUUUUCAUUUUUUUUCAAAUUCCACAAAAUGAAAAACUUUCAAAUCGAUUAUUCUAGAAAACGGUGUCCUACAGACUUAAAGCAAGAGUACCUUUUCGUGCUAGAAUACCUCACAAUUUAAUAAUCCAGUGUCAAAAAUGCUUAAAAGUUAAAGACAAAAAAGGUAUGAAAUAAAAUAACCGUUACCCUACCCAAAACGGACGCCUAUGGCCGGUACUAGAAAUUCACAAUGGAUGGAAUCGAUUCAUUUCUGGAAAGUAAAUAUGCAUACCAAUUUUCGUUUUUCUAAAUAGAAGCGUUCUGGAGGUAUUUAAGAAAAACUAAUUACAUGACGCCAUUUUUAAAGAGCUCUAGCUACCUUAGGAAGCAUUUUCGGACUAGGUGAAUUAGGUUAAAUUGUCUUAAAAUUACCUGAGGAAUUUCCUGUCUUCGUUUGUCGGUAGAGUUUCUGGACACCCUGUAUAAUAAAUGUUUUCCAUAA